GGUGGUUCUUGGGUGAUGCACUCUGGAACUAGGCUCCCUCCUCUCUGGUGCCAGGGGCAUCACCCAAGAACCACA
rfam:Myotis davidii contig90332, whole genome shotgun sequence.